CUUGCAGUCGAACGGUUGAGGAACUCUUGCUGCUUUGCUGACGAGUGGGGGACGGGUGGCCAAUGUCUGGGAAACUGCCCGAUGGACGGGGAUAACUACUGAAAACGGUAACUAAUACCGCAUAAUGUCACAAGACCGGGGAGGGGGACCUUCGGGCCUCUUGCCAUCGGAUGUGCCCAAAUGGGAUUAUCUUGUUGGUGAGGUAACGGCUCGCCAAGGCCACGAUCCCUACCUGGUCUGAGAGGAUGACCACCCACACUGGAACUGAGACACGACCCAUACUCCUACGGGAGGCGGCAGUGGGGAAUAUUGGACAAUGGGCGCGAGCCUGAUGCGCCCAUGCCGCGUGUAUGAACAACGCCUUCGGGUUGUAUAGUACUUUCAGCGGGGAGGAAGGUGUUGAGGUUAAUAACCUUUGACAUUGACGUUACCCGCAGAACAAGCACCGGCUAACUCCGUGCCCGCAGCCGCGGUAAUACAAAGGGUGCAAGCGUUAAUCCGAAUUACUGGACGUAAAGCGCACGCCCGCGGUCUGUCAAGUCAAAUGUGAGAUCCCCGGGCUCAACCUGGGCAACUGCAUUCGACACUGGCAGGCUUGAGUCUUGGAAAGCGAGGUAAAAUAUCCAAGUGUAACGAUGAAAGGAGUAGAGAUCUUGAGGACUACCGGCGGCGAGAGCAAUACCCCUGAACAAGUACUGACGCUGCAGGAGCGAACGCGAGUAGAGCCCCUGAGGAUUCACAUCACCCUGCUAGUCCACACGGGUAUUGUCCACGUCUACUUUGGAUUCUCGUGCUCACGCGUUAGAUAGACCGAAGCUAGAGCACGGCUGCAACGUUAAGAAUCAAAUGAAUUGACAAGGGCUCGCAACU
rnacentral:rRNA from 1 species